rnacentral:rRNA from 1 species
GACGAACGCUGGCGGCAUGCCUAACACAUGCAAGUCGAACGGAGAUUAUUUCGGUAAUCUUAGUGGCGAACGGGUGAGUAACGCGUGGGCAACCUGCCCUCUAGAUGGGGGCAACAUCCCGAAAGGGGUGCUAAUACCGAAUGUGACAGCAAUCUCGCAUGAGGAUGCUGUGAAAGAUGGCCUCUAUUUAUAAGCUAUCGCUAGAGGAUGGGCCUGCGUCUGAUUAGCUAGUUGGUGGGGUAACGGCCUACCAAGGCGAUGAUCAGUAGCCGGUCUGAGAGGAUGAACGGCCACAUUGGGACUGAGACACGGCCCAGACUCCUACGGGAGGCAGCAGUGGGGAAUCUUCCGCAAUGGGCGAAAGCCUGACGGAGCAAUGCCGCGUGAGUGAUGAAGGAAUUCGUUCCGUAAAGCUCUUUUGUUUAUGACGAAUGUGCAGAUUGUGAACAAUGAUCUGUAAUGACGGUAGUAAACGAAUAAGCCACGGCUAACUACGUG